GCCUUCGUAGUGUAACGGUAGCACACCCGGCGCGUAUUCGAGAGGUCCAGGUUCGAGUCCCGGCGAGGGCA
rfam:Stegodyphus mimosarum contig60925, whole genome shotgun sequence.